rfam:Rattus norvegicus chromosome 12, whole genome shotgun sequence.
GGGGAUUUAGCUCAGUGGUAGAGUGCUUGCCUAGCAAGCGCAAGGCCCUGGGUUCAGUUCCCAGCUCCG